UGCAAAGGCACCAAAUAUAGUCGCUGGUCUCCCUGCGAUCAUCCGACAGCGAGCAAAGAAACGCCACAUCAACGCGCCACAAACAACCGCCAAGGCGAAGAGUACCAGCGAAACAGAACACAGGACAAACGCAACGCUAUCCCUCAGUGGCGCCCGCACGCUUUCGGCCGGAUGCUUGCGCGUACAUGUUCUGCGACCCAUCCCCUUCACACUGCGGGCCCUUUUGUUUUCUUGUGACCUUCCCGCCUACGCACCUGCAGAUUUUGCGCUCCUGCACUUCUUCUCCCUACCACACCCCUUUGAACCACAAGUUCUCAGCUGCUGUCGUGCCCUGCUCACGCGACAUUGCGUAGACAGAACAGACCAGCUGUUCCUAGACCUACGCCCGAGAGCUUUCGAUAUGGCCUCUGCGGCUGCGGGUACCUCUGCAGAUACCCAGGGCAUCUUCUGCACGCCUAUCGGCCGGCCGCAUCGAGCCACCGACACGGCGCCGCUCGCACCCGUCGACGAGUUACCGGUCAAGAGGGGAUGUAUGGGUCCCCUGGAGGUGCUCUCCGAAGUGAGAGCCGUGAACGGCUAUCUUCAGCUCCUCGCGGAGCAGCUGCACGGGUGGGCGGAGACGGGCCCCUCUGCAGUCACAUGUACCUCGCGAUCUCCAACCGUUACCAGCGCGGGGGGAUCGGGUGCGCACGGCUAUCCUGCAAAGCCUGGCGCAACGCAAGCUGCGCUGUCUUGGCGUCGGGCUUCGGAGCGCGACGCACUUUACCUCCUCCAAACAGUCAUGGAGAACACGCGACGUCUCGUCAUCCAGUCUCAGAAUGUGGUGUGCACUCUCUUGAGUCGAGACACCGUCACCAGCGGCGCCACCUCUGAUCAAGCCUCGUGCGGGAUAAGCUACUCAGAGUCUCCCUUUGAUGUCGCGAAGCGGAGCGUCGACGCGUGUGCAUACCCGCUCGAUACAGAAGAGCCUCGUGUGUCCCUCAUGCGUGUUAUGCAAGGCUCUCCUUUGCGUGUCGCACUGACACCCUCUCUUGCGCGAUCGGAUGUGCGGGACACGAGCAGAACUCCUGCGAGUGCUUCCGCCACCCAACCCCGGCUCUCCGAUGACGUCGCGGCGCAGCCGAGGCGGCGUCGGUGGCCGGUGUCGCAGUUCUGCUACAUGACGCAUGUGGAGUUCAAGCGCGGCCGGCUGCGUCGCUUUCUGAGCCCUGUGACCGUGAAGGCAGGCGCUUACGUCAUUGUGCCUGGCGACCGCGGGUACGACUGCGGGCUCGUGGUGCAAUGUGCUUUGUGGAAUCCUCACAAGCAGGCAUACGACGUGGAUACCAUUCAGUCGCUCGACCCCGGCGUGUUGCCGCCGGGAAACGCGGGGUCCAUCAUGGAGGUCAUCCGUGUUGCCACAGACGAGGAGGUGCACCGCCUGCAUCGCGAGCACGUCAGCAUGGAGCGGCUUGCGCUUACCACGUGUCGCGACAUUGCCGAUCGCCUGCACCUUUCCAUGGAGGUGCUCGACUGCGAGUACCAGUAUGACGGCACAAAGAUCAGUUUCUUCUUCGACUCUGCCGAGGUGAUUGACUUUCGAGAGCUCAACAAGGAGCUGUUCCGUGUCUUCAACGCGCGUAUCUGGAUGCAGAACACGAAUACGGCAGUGCGCAACGAGGCACCGCGAAAUGUGGUGCCGUCACGGCGAGCGCACCGUUUGCGCUUCGGCUUCCAAGGUACCUCGUCGGCGCACUAAGCACAUCCUCGAGAGUUCCGGCGUGCCUUUUUCGUCGCGCUCUGCGCGCGUCAUCGUUCCCUUUGUAAAGGAGGAGAAGCGUGCCUUGGGCGCAUCCUCCCCCCCCUCCUCGCUGCAUGGCCACCUCGCUACUCGUUGUGCCUUUUCCGAGUGCCUUGCGCUUUGUUGGCGUUUGCAGGCAGCGCGAAACCGCCUCCCUCUCCGCCUCUUCCGACCCCUUUGGCUAUAUUUAUUUAUUUAUAUAUAUAUUUAUCGAGAGAGAGAUUUUUUUUUCCGCCGCGCCAUGGCCUCGUGCACAAAGGUGAUACGGUCUCCUGCUGCUCUGCCUGCGGGGCGGGCUUAGCGCCGCGCUGAAGCCGAGGAAGAGGACCGUCUAAGCCACCCUCUGCUGCGUAUUCCUUCACGGCGACGAGCAAGACGCAUCCGAGGGUUCCCAGCGGGCAUGGGUGGAGGCCGCACAUGUCUUUAUUUCGCUGCUAUACCAUUUCUUUUUGCCUUUUUUGUCCCAUUUUCAGCUGUCGCUCUUCUCUCCUUUGGGGAAGGGGGAAGGGGGGGGGCUGUUGCACGUUGAGAUGGCAACAGACGUUCGUAUCGCUGUCGGAGCGCUUUCAACAGAAGCGGCUCGUCCUCCCCCCCAAAAAAAGAAACGACAGAAAAAAAGGUCAACGUGUUUUUUUUUUGGUGUUCUUAGCGUCGUUCUCAUUCGUCGCCGGAACGCAUCCUGUGCGGCGGGCCCUUUCUCAGCCUUGCGCCCCUCGCCUGCCUGGCAUUGCACGACAACCGCAUGCAAGACUAGAUUAUAGUGCGGGGAUGUCUUUCUUUGGGGGAGGGAGGGGGCUCCCCCUGCUGUUUAUACCUUCAUGACUGCUACAGUUGCUCAGAAAGAACACAGAAGGCAGUAAACAACUGCGCUCAGCGACCUCGAGCAUGUAACCUAAAAAAAAGAAAGAAAGAUGAACGCGCUUGCAAACGGAGGCCGCAUGCUCCGUAGAUCACCUCAGGAGCACGUUUGCGUGUGUGCCAAGGACGCUCUACGUGACGUCAAGCGGCGACAUGCUUCCCUUCGCUCGAUCUUUGUACUCUCUGUGCGUCCUGUUUCGCACCCUCGGCCGUGGCGGCAUCCUUAUCUUCUCACAUCAGCAGCGUCAACGUUCCACACAGUCCUUGUCUCUUUUCACGCUCAACGUGGUUUUCUUUUUCAG
rnacentral:misc_RNA from 1 species